rnacentral:rRNA from 1 species
UACAGAGGGUGCGAGCGUUAAUCGGAAUUACUGGGCGUAAAGGGCGCGUAGGCGGCCUUCUAAGUCGAACGUGAAAUCCCCGGGCUCAACCCGGGAACUGCGUCCGAUACUGGAAGGCUUGAAUCCGGGAGAGGGAUGCGGAAUUCCAGGUGUAGCGGUGAAAUGCGUAGAUAUCUGGAGGAACACCGGUGGCGAAGGCGGCAUCCUGGACCGGUAUUGACGCUGAGGCGCGAAAGCCAGGGGAGCAAACGGG